UGAGUACGGAAACCCAGUUCGUCAGACAGACGAAUAUGGUAACCCAGCCCGCCAUGGAGGUACCAUGGGUGAUUAUGGAACCACUGGCACUACUGGAGCCUAUGGUGGCACAGCUGGAGCACAUGGGACUUAUGCAACUGGAACCACCGGCACUACCGGUACCGGUGCGUAUGCCACCCAGCCUGGCACUGAUGUGGGGAAGGAGCACCAUGGCCUUGGUGGCAUGCUUCAUCGCUCUGGUAGCGGUAGCUCUAGCUCGGUAUGCCCUCCUAAUUAAUCUCGUCUUGCUUAAAUUGUACUGAGUUGUAGUAGCAUUUAACAAAUCUUGACCAGCUUGUGAUGACUGGUAAUUAAAAAGUUCUUAUCUGUUUUCUUUUUGUUUUUUCGGUUGGGAUGCAGUCCGAGGAUGAUGGGCAAGGCGGGAGGAGGAAGAAGGGGAUGAAGGAGAAGAUAAAGGAGAAACUGCCUGGCGGUCACAAGGAGGCUCGACCUGGACAAGAAUAUUCGAGUGCUACUACAGCUCCUGGAUACGGCGGGGAAGGAGAGCAGCACGAGAAGAAAGGAAUUAUGGAUAAAAUCAAGGAGAAAUUACCAGGGGGUCACAACAACUGAAGAUCUAAUUCUAAUAAUAUGGGAUCCAAUUAUGAUAUUGUGUACCCCUAUUUUCAAUCUCAAUCUCAAUCUCGUUCGUGUCAUGUUUGUGUUUUCUGAGAUUUGAGUGUGUGGACGUCUUGAGUUUCUGUAAUUGGAAUAAAGAUGAUGAUGAUGACUCUGUAGUGUGUUUGUCCGUAUAUUCGGCGUCUUGUACUCGGGUCAUCUGGUCAUGUAUGUAUGUAACAUGUUAUGUAUCAAAUACGUGAAGUUUUGCGUUACUUUAGCGUGUGAUCGCUUGUAAGUUGUAAGGAUUACGACUCUGGUCGCAUCUAUUCUUUUUUGUCUCCUCAAACCAUAAUGCGCUAACACGAGCAGUGCAAACAAGAUUUCUUAUUAGCAAUAUAACCAGUAGUAACUCAACCCCUCAGGACCUUGAAGUCAGUAGAGUAGUUGUAGGCUCUUGUAAUUGUACACCAAUAUCUCCAAAGUUUCCAACUUCACUAUAUAUUAGUUCCUUGAUCCAAUACCAAAACCAAGCAAGCAAAUGCCACACAGAAAAUCGGGACAGGGACAAGAUAUGGACCUAGCAAAUCAAUAGACUCAGUUCAGAGGUAUAUGCUUGCAUUUGCGUGGCCAAUCAUCAUUGUUUUUUUUUUUUAAUUUUUUUUUAUCAUUUUUUUCGCCGCUGGGGAUGUAUGAUGGUUUGUUGACGAGGAACAAAUCAGAGAAAGGGUAACACCUUAGCAAACACUCGUGUUUGCUAAGGGGAAAAAGACACCAAUUUCAGUAACAGUGAUUGCAACUUUUCUUGGCAUGCGGCAAUUCUUUCAGCCCCAAGGAGGGGGGGAAAAGUGUUAUCCUUGGACUUCACCUUUAGGCCAAGCAGGGUACACCUAAUAUUCAAGGAACGGUUAGUGACAAAAUGUGGCUGAGGGCCUGAGACUCGAUACGUCAGGGGAUCCAAAGCAGACCAUAAGAACCAGGCAAGAAUAUCAAUUUUACUAGAGAUGCGAAACCCGAGGAGAGAAAGAAACGACAUAAGGUCCUUUUGGAGAGUAUUAUCACAGAUGUGAAUGUGAUGCGAUGCGACAAAAAAAGUGAAUGUGAUGCGGCUUCAGAGUAGAAUAUCGUGUUAGAUUGCAGAGGCGAUGAACCACCAUCACAUCAUUGACUCUUUAAGUAUACGCUAUAUUUACCUGGAUUAUCUGGGAUUAACACACGAUAGUAUCACAAGCUUACUUCCAGUUCUGCCCCAACAAUGAAAGAAUCCAAACGGGGUUAAGGCUCAACCUACUGAAAAGAAUUCAAUGUUCCGGGAUAGGGGAUUCUCUUACUGAGGCCCAAAUAGAUUGGCUCUUUAAGUAAUUAUCUCAACCCUAACAAUUAAGAAUGUCUAGGCAUUUUCAUUGCUACCGUGGUUAACCCCAGGAUUCCAACUUCAAUCACCAAAAAUCACCACAGGAGCAUAUUCCUUUCCGGAAAUGGUGGAACCUCAAGUUAUCCCUAACAACUAUCUCCCUGCUCGUGAGCUGAGAUGCUCUGCUCAUUACAGAGUGGCAGUCCUCACAUAUUCUCAGGUUCUUGGUGAUUCUGAUAACACAAUUAGCACUUGUAGUUAGCAGGGAAUACGCCAAAGCGAGCUUUUCACUAUGCGUUAGAAGGAUCCGCUCCUUUUCUUCAUCACUUACAUCAUAAGGAGCAGAACUUAGUAUUGGCUGAUAGCCAUGGACCUUUAGUCUCUUAAGAAGAUCCUGUAGUGUCUGCUUAAUCAAUUUAGACUCUGGAUGAAUCGUGUCAUCAGAAUAGAAGUUGUGAAGUCCCCCAUUUUCAUCUUCAACCAUGCUAAGUGAAGGAGUUUUUAUUAAACGUUUUGCUCUUAUCAACUUCCUUACUCUUGAAACAUCUUCCCACCUUCCAGCUGAAGCAUAGAUAUGGGAAAGCAAGACAUAGUUUCCAAUACCAUCAGGUUCAAGUUGAAACAGUUGCUUAGCAGCUAUUUCAGCAACCUUAGGAUUUCUAUGAAUUCGGCAAGCUCCUAGCAAGGCUCCCCAAAUGCUGCCAUUGGGCUCUAUUGGCAUCGUUUGAAUAAGUUCCAGUGCUUCUUCCAGUCUUCCAGCUCUGCCAAGGAGAUCAAUCAUGCAAGUAUAGUGGUCAACAGACGGCUUAAUACCACAACCAUUCUUCAUCAUUCCAAAGAAAUGCUGACCUUGUUCUACCAAGCCUGCAUGACUACAUGCGGCAAGGACCCCGACAAAAGUCACCUUAUUAGGCUUCACCUCAACCUUCAUCAUCUUCUCAAACAACUCUAUUGCUUCUCUAGCACAUCCGUGCAUUGCAAACCCACCAAUCAUUGAACUAUAAGAGAAAACAUUUCGAUCCUUCAUACUCUCAAAAACCUUAAAUGCAUCCUCCACACUCCCACACUUCGAGUACAUAUCAAUUAAUGCCGACCCAACAAGGACAUUAUCCGUAAGUCCAAAUCCUGACUUCUCUGCAAAAUCCCGGACCCAAUUUGCGUACUUGAUUGCACCCAAUUGAGCACAAGCUGAAAUAACACUAGACAAGGUCACUUCAUCCGUGUUUACCCCAGAAUUCUGCAUUUUCUCAAAGUACUCUAACGCUUCCUUAGGCUGAGCAUUCUGUGCAAACCCUGUCACCAUCGCGGUCCAUGCCACCAUAUCCUUCACAGGAAGCCUAUCAAACAACUCGCUUGCCGCCACCAUAUCCCCGCUCUUCGCAUAUGCAACGAUCAAAGCUGUAAAAGAAAUGACGUCCCUCGUGGGCAAUUCAUCAAAUACCCUCCUAGCAAAAUCCAAGCACCCACAUUUUACAUACAUAUCAAUCAACGUAUUUCCCACAAAUAAAUCCUGGACAAACCCACCAAUCUUCAAGCUUUGCCCAUGAAUUUGCCUGCCCAAAUCCACAUUCAACACGCCAGUACAAGCCUUCAACAAUGCCGUAAAAGUAAAUGAAACGGGCAAAAUAUCAUCCCUCCUCAUUUGGCCAUACAAAAAUACGGCCUUUUCUAGUGGCCCCUGAACAGAAUAACCGCGGAUAAUUGCUGUAUAGAGAAAAGGGUUGGGGCAAUAUACCUGGCUGAAGAUCAGACGGGCGUAAGUAUCGAUGGGGGUAUUGAGUUUGCAGAGCACCCGAACGAGUUUUGUUAGGAGGAAGCUGCAUUGGUCGAGACCUUUUCUGAUGAUAUGAGCGUGGACUCUCUUGAUUUCUGUGAGACUAAUGCAGGAAUCGAGGAUUGAGACGAGCUGGGCUUCUAGAAGCUUUGUUUCUUGAAGCUUAGAGACGGGAAUGAAGGGUUCUUGGAGGUCCAGAGCUGGAGCUUUCGGUUCGUAGAAUUGGGGGAUGAGAAUUGCAGGGCGUCUAAGGGUUUUAAUCAGCUUCUUGGAAAGUGAAACCAUCACAUAUUUUGCACAGAAUUUGUGGACUAGAAGUGGCCGUUUGGGGAUGCAGAAGAGAGUGAAUUUUGUGUUGGCGCCAAAUAACAGCAAUCUGUUGUUAAAUUUGAGAGUAAACAAGAGGGUGUAGUCGUCAGCGCAAGGUAGUGAAGAAUUGACGCUACUAAUUGCCAAACCAAUUUUCUUUUUCUUUUUAUUGUUAUGCUUAGAUAAUAUGUAGAUAAUGAAAACUUGUAAUUUAUCUGCAUGAAGCAUAAUGAUUAUUAUAUGUUUACUUCAACAAAACUAAAGUUGUGAUAGUAAAAUAUUUGAAAAUUUUUUUUUUAAAAAAUAUUAUAACACUUUUUUUUUUUAUAUGAAGUAUGCGACAUAUAAGAAAUAAUAAAAAAAAAAUGCGUUAAUAAUGCCCAUAAAUACAAACAAGCCCAGUUCCGUAAACAUCUUCAAAACGUUGUGAAGAUAUUUAUAUUUCUGAGUUGGAUGCGCUUUAAACGGUUUAAUAAACCAACCACCAAAAAGAUAAAGGCCUCAUGAAAAAGACAACCAUAUAUAAGUUACUCGUGCAACAAAUGUUCAUCAUCGGGGCCUGUUUAUGAUAGUAAUUGGUAAAAGAAGAAAAGAACAGGAAAAUUUGCAGAGGGAAAAGGAGGUUAGUUAAUUAGUAGGGGCACUAAUCAUAUAGCAAAUAAUCGGCUUUCAUAUGACUAACCAACAUCAUACAGCAUAUAUAUAUUUUGACAAACCUACUAAUGAUGUACAGCUCAAACAAAAAAAUACCAAAGGUUUUCACUACCAUAAUGAGCAGCAGCAGAUUAGUGUGCUUUCUGGUGUGCCUUGACGUUCCGAAGCACAUCCUUCAGAACCGCUGCAAUUCUUUGCUCCAUAUGGCGUUCUAAAAACCUUUCUUUCACCCUCUCAUAGCCUCUCUUCCCCAUCGUCAGUCUCCUUUCAACAUGAGUAGCAAGUUUAACCAUAUUUCUCGCAAGAGGCAUUACUCCCUGUUUCCCUACCGGAUGCAGAAGACCUGUUGAUCCAUUCACCACAAUUUCUUGAGUGCCACCUGCUGCUGUUCCCUGAAAAUCAAGCCAUAAUCAAGCAGUCAUAAGAUAACCUAUACUCUGAAUCAACCGAAUGUCCUCAAGAAUAUAGAAGAGCUAAAAUCUCAUGCAUUUUUUACUGGAACAGAUGUCAGAGAUUCAGGGCAACCAUACCAGUACGGGUAACUGAAAUGCCAUGGCUUCAAUUGUUAUCCUCCCAAAGCACUCACCUCGUGCCUACAUGGAGGGAUGAGGAUGUAGAUAUUAGUACCGACACCGAGACCGAGAUCAAGAUACAUUUCACAAACACCCUAAAAAAGUCGUACAAAAUAGCAGACAAACUUGUUUCACAAUGAGAUUUUUAAAUUGUUAACAAAUUCACAACUAUGGUUCUCUUUGAGUCCUCCCUUAAUUGCAUGACGUCAUUUGUAGAAUUCAAAUCUAACAAAAGCAUGUAGAAUCACAUGCUCAUGGGUUGCAAAUCAAACAGGAAUAAAAUUUUUGGGAAAAUAUAUCUACACUAUAUACUGGACUCAUCUUUCAUUUGAAAUGAGAACUUAAUUUUACCACUACUGGACCCAUAUUUAGGCAAAAGGGAAGAGGGGGAAAUAAAAACAUCAAAAGUGAGCUCAGCAAUUGAAGUUCUAAGAAUGCAAUAAGUCGGCUAGUGUAGCUUUUCAACUGCCCAGGCAAAAAGGACCCACGAGAGAAAAAAUCUUUCCAGUGUUUGGUGCAAAAGGAAAAUGCGAUCAAAUUGACCUUUUACUACUUUUGCUACAUAGAACGUGCCUUUUUUGUGCAAUUUAUGACAUUAAACCGAAAAAGCUUCCAGCCAGCCUUCUAAAUAUUUGAAUAGGUUUUUUUAUUAAAUUUGAUUGGCAAUGGCAUGUUACAAUGUUCAGUAAAACAUACAGAACUUACAAAAUAAUAAUUAGGAACAGGUCACAAUUCCAAAUAACUUUCUCCUAUCUAGGACAUGGUGGAUAUGGUUUUUCUAACAAUUUUUUAAGAUUGUCGGCCGUGCAGUUUCUCUAAAUUAUACAUGUAUUUGGAGAAAAUAAAUAGAUAACAAAUACUGAAUGUGCAUGGGGGCAAAAGAACGUAAAUUGCAGCCAGAGAUUUGCAAAGUUAACAGCGGCAGCAGAUAAAAAUGAUUUACCUGAGAAUUCUGGACAAGAACAUCAAUUGCAGCAAGAUAAGGAGCUACAGCCAGAGUCUUAUUAACGAAAUGAACAUGACCCUGAAUCUUUUUAGAUUCAACAAAGGCCCUCAGCUCAGACUCAAAUUUGCUUUGAGCAUUUACAUCACUCCCCACAAUUGCAGCGUGUAUAGGUGGCACUUGUAGCUUCUGGUGCUUGAUGUAUAUUAGGCUCUCGUGAAAAGAAUUCAGAAACAAAUCUUGUCCUUUUCCACGAGAAACACCUACAGCAUUACAACCACCAAACCAUCAAACAAAAAUAAAAAUAAAAGCAUGAAUAUUUACUUAGCAAGUCUUAUAAGCAGAACAGACAAAAUAUUCACUGUCGGUGAUUUGCAAACAUCAGUACAACCUCCUCAUACAAAUAUGCCAAUAAGUAAAAAGAUCAUUUAUACAUAGAAGACUUGCAAAAUGAAGAUGCCCAAUAAAUCAAGUUAAGCCAAAAAAAAAAAAACUGGGUGAGUAUUCAUGAUUCUGAUCCUUUCAGGAAUCAAGCAUACUUGGUUGACGACCUCACUUACGGAGGCACCUCUGCAUUUGGUGGAAAGUACAAGACUAAUAUGCAAGGUGAGGAUCACAGGACUUAAAUCUUGACAAAAAUCAGGAAAGCUCACAGAGGGAGGGAAGCUGAAGCGACUGUUGAUGUGCAAGAAUUGAUAGAUGAUGAAUGUGAAGAAGAUUAUCAGACUUUCCUUGACCAUUUAAACUUUAAUGGCGAAAAAAUGGUUCUGAAAUACAAAAAGUCGAUGCCUUAUAUAUGACGGGGAACUAAAUGUCCAAACUCAACUCCGUGCAGUGUGUGUGUGUAUAUAUAUCCUUAAUUAUGAAUGCAACAGGAAGAAAAAUUCAUCCUAACGUGUCUAAAGCUCAUGAUUUCUUCUUAAUUUACCACAGCAGUUGUUUAAAUACAAUAUCAAGUCAGUCUCUCAAACAAGCUUAAAAACUCCAAAAAACAUUGUGGAACAACCUCCCCUAUACUAAACCAAAUCUCAAAUUCUUCUCACAAAAACAGCCCCCAGGUUCAACGGAAGCAUAAGGACCCCAAACAACCUCCAAAAAAAUAUGUAAAAAAAACACAUAAAAACAUUUUUUAAAAAAAAUGGACCCCAAACAACCUCCAAAAAAAUAUGUAAAAAAAACACAUAAAAACAUUUUUUAAAAAAAAUGAAAGUUAGUGCAUACUAUUUAUGAUGGCAAAAAGUAUAUCUUCAUUCUGAACCCCAAGAGAUUCACGAACAUGCUCCCGCAAAACCCUUUUUGCCACAGUAUCCUCAGCAACUUCCAUAAGUUCUUUACUGUUCCCAAGAUGAACAACAUAUGUUUUGGGCAUUUUGAUCCUAUAAGAGAUUGACAAAUACAGUUAAGAACAGUCAGAAUGAUGAAAAAUUGAGAUCGAGGGAAUAAUGUUGGACAGUAAACAUUGCCAUGAGAGAAACACACGAUCAAUAGUCAGAAAUCUUAAUUGCCCAUGUCAACCAAAUUUGUCCCUUACAUCUACAGGUUAUGGCCUUUUUUAAGACUACAUCCAUUUAGACCAGAAUUUUCUAGAAGUUUUCUGUAUCCUCAAAGAGAUAAAAAAAAAAAAAGGCACAGAUCAUGAUGGAUGCAUAGCUAAGUUUGAACCAGCUGCUUACCACAUCAGAAGUCUCAACCAUAAAAACCUUCCUCCUUUGAAGAUUAAAUUAAUAGAAAAUCGAUAUUAACCAUUCACCAAGCCAUACAAAGGAAUCAAUUCCCCCAAACAUUCACUGUUAAGGCUCCAAUUAUGAAAUUCAGCAACUCAAGAAUCUACUUUUCAAAAUUUUUGAGAUUAACACUGCAGCAUAAAUAAAUAUGCAUAGUAACAUUAUUAUGAAAAAACAUUUUAAUCGAUUUCAUCAAGUCAUCCCGACUUAAGGUGCUGCACAUGACUUGCAACACACUUGCACCUUCAUCCCCAUCUUGCCCCUUGCAAUAUCUUCAUGGACUAAAAUGUCAAUCAUGAACUCUAAUUCUCAUUGUCUUACUUUAAUUAUUUGUUAUCACAUCAGCUAAUUCAUCCAGAGAAUAAAAAAAUGAAACAUAGCAAAAAUAAAACAAGAGAAUCGGAGGUUGCAUAGCACUCCAGUUUUCUUGUUCUACCAGCUGAUCUUUACCAUAAGAAGAUUAGAAGUCCUUUGCUGGUAAGUUGUUAUUAAGAUACUUUUCCAAUUUCUAGCAAAAAUGAUAUGAAUGUUAACUGUCCUCCGCUAAAAUUCUCACACACUUCUAUAUCACAGUGCAAUAUAAGAACUGAGAAAAUCAGCAUAACUACCUUCUAUCUUGAUAAUUGACAAGAGCAAGAACAUUAUUUGUGUCAGGCAAGCUAGUAGUGGCAUAUCUUGGGAAGCACCUAGGGUUGUUCAACCUUGUACAUACACCUAGGGCUGAAAACUGUACUAAUCAUACAUCAUCACAACACGCUAAUGCAGUGAUCAACAUAUAAUGCAUGAGUUCAAAUAGUAAAGAAAAAAAACAAACAUAGAGCUUUGUGCAUGUUGGAAGCUGCAUUAAAUAGGAGGCCACUAAAAGAAGUAAGGAAUGACAUACAUAGAUGCCUACCUUAAUCGCUCCUGUGUCCUAUUCUUCCAGUAUUCUGCUGUGACAUGUGAAUCUAUCAUUGCACCAGCAACAAAUGGAAGGUGUUUUACAUAAUCCAAACUGAAGUAAUGGCCCCGCAUUUCAUGGAUCCACCACAAAGUUUUGGGGAGAACAAGAUGAACUUUUUCCUUAAGAACAGCAUCCAACCACUUUCCAGCCACAGCAGUGUUCAAAACCACCAGAUCUGCUUUCAGUGCUAUAUUUACGGCCUCUUGGCUUCUCGCCGAGACAAUCUGAGAUGUAAAAGGGGAAAAGGUGAGCAUACUGCUCAACAGUGUUUGAACCUCAUAAAAUUAGCAACCAAUGCAUCAAGUAUUUAGAAAAAUUGAUUCGUGUUGAUAAGGCUGCAUCUUAUCCAUCAUAAAAUUUUAUUUACCAGAAACAAUUAUAUUCGUGCAGAACGGAAAUCUUUAUUACCGUAACAUAUACUGAACCUUGUCACAUUAGGAAUGGAGAAAAUAACGCUGGCAAAUUCAUGGAUUAAUUACCUGAUAUAUCAAGCGUAUUGAAAAAAAAUGCAAAGCAUUUUGUUGAAAUGGAAGGGGGAGGGAGAGUGAUUGAACCAAUUGAAUACAUAUACCUUUUUCCUCUUUGUAAAAUUAUAUACAGAUGUUUGCCACUGAGCUGACAGAAACGAUAUGACUAACUAAAUAUAACAUUAGCAAACUCGAGAACAUCGAGCUCCAUGCAUUACUUUAGCAGGAAACCAUGACGAAAACUUUGACAAACAGGUUAAAAACUAAAGAGGCAAAGACUGCAUCCCUCAACAAGUAGACUCGCAAGAACUGUGAGAUUUCAUUGUCAAAAGAUUUAAGGAAUAAAAUAUGGAAAUAAAGAAGAUAGAUAUUGCAAAAAGAGCCAUGUAAGGUAGCUGAUUAUAAGCACAGAAAGAUUUUGCAACCUGCACUCCUCGAGUUAACAUUUUGUGCUCCAAACUGUAGAUGACACUGUCUGUUCCUGAUGGUCUCUGGUUUGUAAUCCAUUGAACAUCAGCACCAACACCUCGUAACAGAAAAGCCAGUUCCAUCAGCAACAAUGGUCCACCUACAGUGUGUUUCAGUAAAUGGAUUAGCUAGAGAUAAAGUUACAGAGAUACUAAUAAAUGACCGAAAGCCAGUAACUUGAAUAAAAGACCAACAUUAACCAAUCAAAGCUGAUUAAAAGACUGAUUAAAAGACAUGAUAGGUCACAUUUCCAGAAGGUUUAUAUUGUGGGAGGUGACAAGAAUAAGCAUAGAAUGAUUCUGUUGCAGGGGCACACUUAACCAUAUUCCAGAUGUUUUUAGAGGACCUAAAUGGAAUAACUUUAAAAAAUAUCACUUAAGGCUGAAGAGCUGGUUUAGAAUACAUAUUGUUUCCAUGUUAUUGCUAUGGGUUUUAAGUCUCUCAUUUGUUCAUGUAGAACCCAUCAAAGGAACUGAAAGCUAUUAUUAUACCUGUCACUUUCAUAAUGUUGCUUCUAGGAUUUAUUAUCCAGCAACUUCUGCCUACACACUUUACUUUUGAACAACCCCCUAUAAUCUCCAUUCCUGGGCAUUUACCUAUAUCCCUUUAUAUCCUUUAUUUACCAUUUCUGUUGCAAUUACUGCAAAUUGCACUAUUAAGAAAGUCGCAAUGGCAAUUUAUCACUUAAAACUUCAACAAACAAUCACUUAUGUGGUAUCAUAUCAAUACCUUCAUUUGGUUGUAACUUCUUCCCUAAGCGUACAUAGCCAGUCCAGAUUAUCACAUAAAAUCUCAUGCUAUCUUUUUCAAGAAACAUACACUUUAUGCCAGUUCACAAACUGAAAAAAAAAAAAAGAGGUAAUGAAACUCUAACAAAAUCGAAUGAAGCACGGAAGUUGCCAGAGAAAAAAAGACGGUUCACCAGGACAUACAGAAUCAUAUCUCUAGUAUCCUCUACUCAGAGCCCAAGUUUUGCUAGACCAAGACCUCAGUACUAAAUGUGCAUGAUAUCAAUGGCAAUCCAUGCAUCAGCAAACGGUAACUGGAUGGCUUGAAAUUACAUGCUGUUAACAACAUCAGCCUUUUUCUCCUUGAAUUUUUCAUCUCUUACCUCCUAUAUAUCAUUUUUUUCCUACCUGACCUGUUAUCCAUCUUUGAUCAAUACAAUAUAAUUUCCACUUGAAGGAAAAAGUUUUGCUGGAUACAUAUAUGUAAUGCACCAGCUAAAGAAUUACUACUUGGCUAAAUUUGCAAUAUAUCAAUAACAGCACCACAACUCAAAAUCAACAUUGAGUUAAUUUUCUAAUGAGAGAUGAAAAUAACAGAGGGGAAGGGGCAAGCUCUUCUUACAAGAUACCUAAAAAAACUCCAGUAACUCGAAUUGAAUCAUUAAAUAUACAUAAUUCAGAUUCUUGAGGAAACAAAAAAGAGUUCUCUUUUUUUUUUUUGGUUCUUUUGUUGAAGAAGAGACGGACCUGAAAGAGAAAGCUCAUGAGAGACAAGAAGCACGAGCUUAGACUUCAUAAAACUAAGUGGGCUGGGAGACGGAGCUGCGGUAACAAAAGGCGGCCGCAGCGGUGGCGGUGAGACGGAGCUGAACUUCUUCUGGGAAGGCACAGCCACAUCGUGACGGCAAUCACAAGGGGUAGAAUCCACGCCGAUGCCGGACCUGAUAAUCAAAGCAACAGAAAACAUCACCAGCACCAUAAUUAACAUCAUCCACCGCUUCCUGAGGAAAACAGAAGCCACGGAGGAGGACGACGGCGUCGGGUUGUGCUUGGCCAUCUCCGCCACUAGCAGUGCUUACACAAGCAACAAUGUUAGGGAUUGAUGAGGGAAUGAAAGGCGGGACUAAUGGGUUAACUUUUUCAGGCAUUUUAAGGGUGGGAUUUCUGGUGGGGAUAGGUGAAUGGGAGAGAACAUUUGUCACUUGAGAUAUGGGAAAAGUGAUGCCUCAUCACUUUUUUUUCUUUAAUUUUUCUUUUAACUUCCUGGGCCUGGGGUUUUUGGCUGGGUUUUUCCCAUGUGGAAGGGAAUUGAACUUUUUUUUUUUUGUCUGGGUAUGGAAAGAAUUUUGGUAUUCAACUUUCGCUUUCCCACUUCGAGCAGUAGAAGACGAGACGAGGAUAGGCACUGCACUUAAUUAGGCUGUGUUUUAAUUGCACACAUUCGCUUGCUCUGCCCAUCACCAUCAAUUUUGUGGUCUGAUGAUGAGAAAGACAAACUGCGUCUCUUGACCGAAAUGCCCCGUCAUUAUGUUGCAUCUGUGCCUCGAAGGAGUGAUGUUAUGACAUGUUUAGGUACCUUGGCUUAAUUUGGCAAUCAACACGAAUCAAUAUUUAUAUUUUUAGGAGAUUGCGGCCUUGCUUUUGGUUGUUUUAGACUUUACAAAAUUUAAAUUAUAAAAAUUGAUUAUAAAAUAAUUAAAAUUAGUAAAAACUGCAUUUUAGGUGAUUAUAGAUUCUAACUUUUUAAAUCAUUAAAAAAUUUAUAAUCAAAAUGCAAAAGUAACAGAAAACAUUAGAAAAAUUGAUUCAAAAUUUAUAAUUAAUUAAAAUAAAUUCAACCACGAACAAGUCUACGAUACUAUAUAUUUGUUCAAAAGUUACAUUGGUUGACUUUUUAUUUUUUAUUAUAGUGAUUGUUAUGUAGUAAAUUUGUUUACUCUUUUUUCGAGUAGAUGUUCCUUAUUAAUUGAUACUUGUAAUUAGCAUCAUAAUAGUUUUAUCAACUUUCAUCUCUCACAUCCAAUCUUUUUUUCCUUUUAAAUAACGAUUAAUUUAUAUGAAUUGGUCAUUAUUUUUUAAAUUUUUUUUGAUUAUGUUAUAAAUAUAACCUCUAAUUAUUUAUUUAUCAUUCCAAUGAUUUUUUAUUUAAUGUAUAUCAUACUACAAACAUGCUAUAGUGUUUUUUAAUAAAUAAUAUUCCAUCAAAAAUAUUUGGAUACAAAUUACUAAACCGUUUUAGUAGAAUUGUUAUAGAUGUUAUUGGACAGAAUUGUUAUAAAGUAGUUCUUCAAACUAACACGUGUGACAAAAAAAUUUUGGUCAAUUGUAAAUUUUCUUAAUCCUAACAUCAUAAAAAGUUUUAAAAAUUGUUUAAAAAAUUGUUUACUUGCCAAUGUAUAUAUAAAUAAUAUAUCACAUUUUCUUGAACACCAAAAUAGACAACAGCUACUAUUACAACUAUUUGCUUGUGUUUAUGCAUAGAUUCGUUAGUUGAUCUUCAUUCACUUAUUUAGAAAGAAAUAAUAAAGCCUGGUCAAACCAAAAAAUAAAAAGUUUGGGCAGUAUAGUCAUUUUGAUUGUCAGGAGGUUAUCUGAUGCAUCGUUCUAGGGGGGUUAUACGCCUUGGCUGGAACCGGACAGGCGUCUCUGGUUUGUCCGAGACGAAGGAGAAGAAGCAGCAGCUGAGCUGACUAAUGAGUAAUGACCAUGACAAACCCAUCAACAGCUUCUGCUAACUCUAUGCGUCAUUUAUUAAUCGCUGUAAUCGGAGGUAAUCAUUUAAUAGCAGCUCUAAAUCAACAUUUAAAGUUUCUUCUAAUCUCGAAGCAUUAUUGGUUUUUUCCUCUGGUUUUGAGUAUUUGUAAUAACUCAUACUUUUGUCGUCCUUUUUGCCUUUUGGGUUUUGUUCAGCAGUGGUCUUUCAUGCUCUGGAAGCUGUUUCAGUGGUUGUACCAAGUACCAAUUGCUAUGCCCUAGACAAUUCCAGUCGCAUUUAUGAUUUUGUAUCCUGUUAUAUUAAAUAAAGUUGCCCACUUUAAAUCUUGUUAUCUCUCAUUAUUAAUUCCCAUUAACGUAUGAUUACCUUAAGUAAUUAUUUGGAGUAAUUACGUCAUGAAGCUUUCCGUGCACUAUUUGUUUUCUCUCAAGUGAUGAGUAGAGCAGCUGGAUCGGAUACCCUUUUCAGUAUGAUGGGAAGGUAAUUUGUUCUAAGCUUUGCUCUGCUAUAUGAUGCAUAUAUAGGUCAUAAUCUGAAGGGCUAGAUAUCUAAUGGUUCCAAAUAUAUGCAGGAAGCUGACUUGGUCGUGAGAUUUUGUAAAGAUGUCGAGACUAGAUCACAAGCGGUACUAUUGAACUUAUCUUAUUUGUCUAACUAUGAGAGCAAUAAUUAGACAGUUAAUAUUUCAGGGUCGAUAAUUGAAUUGGACCCUUUUGUUUGCUAUUCUAUGUAUGCUUAUUUGCUUGCAUAUCUGAUGCUGCAGAAAUGGCUGAACUGAAUUUGAUUAUUGUACUUGUGACUGUAAACCGGCAGGGAUAUGUGGAUUUUGGCAGAUUUGACAAGUUAAAUCAGUUUGUUGCUGCUUCUGGAAAUUUUAAGUUUGUUCAAGUAAGCUGUGAUUGCUGACCCAGGUUCUUAACAGUUUAUCUCUUAAGCUGGAAUAGGUGACUGUUUGUUUGGUUCUAGUUCUCAAAUCUCCUGUCUGAGGUCAUAAAUACAGUCCACAGUUGCCUGAAUAGUCCUUACACUUGUUCGCUUAGUUGUGCUGCAAUUGAUCCAUCUCAUUUAACUCAUUAUGUAUGAUUACCAAGAUAGGUAGAUUAGCCUAUCCAGUAUGCCUUGCUGAUGAAAUCCUAGAUGUGGAAUUGGACUAACAUAAGCAAAUUUAAAGUUUUUUCUCACUGUAUACAGUCAUUAUGUGUGCAUAGCCUUUGUGGAUAGUGAAUGUGUUCUGAUUUGCUUUGCUCUUCUGAACAUUCAGCAAUAUUAUAAUGGUGACUUAACGAGCUGUGAGCAAAGUUUUGAUAAAUUGGGACGCACAGCACAGGUCAGAUCCAUUGAUACAAUUAUUAGUUACAAUGUGUUUUUGUAACUUUGAUUGCAUUCUUUAAAAUUUCAGUUUUAAUAGCAUGCCAACUGCUCUUAAGGAACGUUUUAAAAGUUUGUUCUUGUAAAUUUUUCAGGUCAGCAUCAUAUGCGGAAGUUGCCCAAAUGGGCAAUGUAAAGGUACUGAAAUAUUGCAUGUUAAGAAAGUUAGCGCAUUCUUGACAGAGUCGUUCUAUUUGGUUGUACCUUAGCAUACAUUAAAUUUGCUAAUGUUGUCAACAUGAAGAGUCUUUUUGCCUUGAACGGGUUUCAGAAAUGGUCUUACCACGGUGCUAUAAAGAUAUUCCCAGAAGACUACCUUUCUAGCAUAUUCAUUUUACUUGUUACUACUCUAUAAAGAUUUCAGUACCUUCUGCAAACUAUCAUACAUCAUAACUUACACUACAUAAAUCAGCACUUAAUGCACAUGAGGUAUAAACUUCAGUGAAUAUCUUUGCCAGAUUCAAGAUAACCAAUAUUUGAGGAUUUUUUUUCUGUUUAUUCGUUUUCCUUUUCUCCUAAGUUGAUUCCUAUGAAAGCUGGACCAUGGUGUACUUCUAGACUAUCAUGUUAUGGCUAUGGAUUUUGUUCAUCUAUUUUUGUUUUCUUCCCAAGGCUGCUAAUGACUUGUUGCAGAAUGGAUGAUAGCUUGUUUUAGUGAUGCUUUUAUUUUCUAUUGUGUGCUGAUGUGUAACUGCAUUAAACCCUGCUGCAAAGAGAAAAUGGAGAGAUGCAUAGUGUUAGCAGAAUAAUAUGUUUAUGGAUUGCAGCCCUUGAGUUUUAUAUUUAGAGUUUCCUGUGGUUUAUAAAUUUUCUAAAAUUUAUCUCAGGUGGUCUUGGAUGCAUAUGUGAUGUGACGUAUGAGUCAAAUUGCAGGUUUUUCUCAUGAUCUCCUGCUAUUUAGCUUUUCCAUUUGUUGGCUUUACAUGCAUUAUACAUAGCUGUUUCUGUUAAGGCAGUGCUCUUGUUGAACUUGCCAUUCCAUGCGAGAAACCGGGAGCACGAGUAUUUGAAGGCUAUACAGUUGGUUUUCAUCCACGUUCAUGGGAGAUUGUAAGAAGUUUCUCUUAUUCUCAGUGACAAGUGAAUAAUAUUUCAACUUUGAGUAAUUGAUGUAUGGAAUCCUUAGGUGUACAAUGGCAUGACUCAAUUAGGUUUUGAAAAGGCUCACAGCGAAUUCAGGUACUGAUUUUUCAGCUUUUGCCAUUUGCUAUCUCUUUUUUCAUUAUUCUGCAGUCUGCAGUGAUCGUAAAGGAAAUAAGUCCAGAAAGUAUAAAAUUUUUAACUUGGUCAUAUGUUUCCUUUGCAAAUCUGGAUCUAUCAUACUUCAACUUCUUCUUGCCACACUGGUGGUUGUUUUACAUGAAGUUAGGUAUCUAUUGUUAGCUAAAUUUAAUCUCCUUCCUUAUCAGACUUAUGUUGUGAAAAAUAGAUGAUUGUAUAGGGGUACAAUGUCUAUCUACGGAUUUGUAUGAUAGAGUAUUUUGCCAAAUAAUUAUUUGGAAUAAUUACUGUAGCACUUUUUGUGAUGUAAUGUAUGUGAGAUAAAAAGGUGGUUGGGAAUAUAAAAAGGUAGAUUGGGAAAUGUGUCUAUGAUGCAAGCGAAAAAUUUUUUGGAAAAAUUUGUUAGCCAUACAAAGCCGUAGGAUCUAGCAUCUAUUAGCAUAUUAUUGGGGUAUAAAUGAGGUGAUUGGUGUGGUUUAUACAUGUUGUAGGGAUGUUUGGGUAGAGACAUCACUUUUGGUGAUUAAUCUUACAUAGUGCUGCUCUUUGAGGAUUAAUUCAUAGUAUGGGCUUCAAUGACUUCUGUAUCUCAAUGAGAAACAAGAAAGAGCAUUGAAGGCUAUAUUAUCAUCCAUAGAAUUGAUUUCUAAGGACAACCAUGUUGGGUGGCUGUUACUGGCUAAAUAUUGGAUACUUGAGAUAUAAAGAGUUAAGCUACCCUUGUGGCAUUGUUCUUUUCUUUCAACUUUAGGAAAGUAGAGAAUUUGGCUUUGACAAGAUUCCGAAUUAAUGUCUUGGCCACUGUGAAGUGCUCCACACUAUGACCAACUUUCUUACCAAUCUAAGAAAUGUAACUAGAUCAGGUGCUUACAUCAAUCACUCCAUUGUUUUCCUUGUUUUAUUGCAGCUUGAGCACAGAACAAACUCAUGUAGCCCUUUACAUGACAGCAGUUGCUUCUCAAUCUCAUUUAGUGCAAAAACCAACAAUUAAGGUAAUUAAAUUUAUGCUGAUGUACGUGGAUGUGUUUCAACAGAAUGGUUUUGAAAUUUGGUAUGAUUUCCAAUCUUCUAGGUUUUCCCGGAGCAAGGCUUGGAAAUUAAGCUUUCAGGUUCAGGAGCAACUGGUGGUGCACCAACAACACUAUCACCCACCGUUUUAACCAUAGAUUGGACAUGUAUACAUUAUAAUAGCAUCUUUCCAUUAAGUCAAGCAGAGAUUCAUGCACAGUAUCUGCAUAACAAUUUGAGCUCUACUCUUGUUCCUCUAAACUUCUACUUUGCAUUUUUCAGGCACGGAGGCUCGUGAUGUGCCAUAUGAAGUUGAAGUCACCAUCCCAAUAGAGAAUUACGAUCCUAUUCUGUUUACUCUAGCAAAAACCUGUGGUAUAUAUCAUGGGGACAUCAUACAUGCAUGUUUAUGAGCAUAGCUCAGACGAUUUGAGUAUAGACAUGUACCAAUACACAACCAUGCAUUUUUCAUGUUUAUGCAAUUGAUAUAUGACCAUAUGGCACAUGCUUGUGUAUGUUCUUUUUCUUGCAUUUCUUAUUGAACUGUUUGCAAUUACAACUUCAUCUGUUUCCUUUCCCUCUUCAGCUAUUUGGUUUCAUUUCUGAAUAUUUUGUUUCUCGAUUAUAAAGUAUAUUCCAUAUUCCAGUACUUGCAAGUCAAACUCUUUGUUUAAUUUCAAAAUGAUAAUUGUAUUGCUGGUUUAUGUUUUCCGGAGUAGUACUUUCGUGUACAGUAGCUAUAACACCUGAUUCACAACUGUUCAAUAUUGCAGAAUAUGGGCAAAGUGAAGGUGUGGAUGCUACCAGUGGAUGGGCUAUAUUCGGGAUACUGUCGUGCAUGUAUGCUUAGCUACCUUUUUAGUGCUUGUUAUUUGAUUCUAAAAGUCUGACUGAGGCAAAUACUACCGAAAUUUAUUUUACUUUUUCCAUUUUGGUGCCUUUUCCCAGAGUUUUGUGUUCUAUACUAUAAUUUUACUUUCAAAUAUGCAUUACUUAGUGAUUUUUUUUUUUUUUUUUUUUAAUUUUGUUGAAGGGUGUACAAAUGGGAAUAGAUCCUUUUUUGCAUAACCCUGCUGUUCUCUUCCAAUUGAUAUUUGAAUAUGUCGGGUUGAUGCAGAUUCAUUGUUCUCUCAACAUUGUUCUGUGUCGGAGGGUUUGUCUAUAAGACACGAGUAGAAAACCAGGUAUCUUAGGGAAAAAGUUCUUCUUCUUUCGGAUCUGUGUCUGUGGAUUUGAUACAUUCUUUAUACUUAUUUACUUAAUAUGCAUCAUGUGUAGCAUGGACUUGAUGCUUUGCCCGGAAUGACAAUUUUAGCUGCAUGUUUGGAAACCGUAAGUCUUACUUAACAUCUUUCAGUAACUACUCUUGGAUUGGUUUGUUGAUCAAGCUGUUCUGUCCAUGGUCCAAAAUUUCAUACUUCCCUCCCCUUAUAUUCAAAUUGCAAAGGUCAAAUACCAGUACACCCACAGGCAACUCUCUGUUUUUUUGUAAAUGUCACAGGUCAGCGGAGCAGGGCAUUCCAAUAUACGUCGACCAGCGGAUGUUAAUGAUCCCUUCAUAAGUCAGGCUUCAUGGGAAAACCAUCCUCAAGGAACAACGAGAAGUAGAGACAAUAGAUAUGGGACAAUUUAAACUCGCACGCUUCAGCUUUUUGGAACAAUUUUGCAUACUGGUUCACAGGGAAAGUUUUGCCCUUUUCAGAGAGAAAUUCAUGCUGCAUUCCAAAAAUACCGGGUCUUCCUCCUAGGUCACAAACUCAAUAAACCGGGAGCAACAACUCGAAAAGAGACUAGGAUUUUGAUCCCUUCUCAGACGGUCAAACUUCAAUGUGAAGGAUACGUUAUUAUUGGCCGGCAUUCUCCACUUUCUUUGUCUGAGGGUGAUGAUUCAUUUGAUUUAACUAAGCCAUGCGACAAACGCCAAAAUAGAGGAUUAGCCAUCUCUUUUUCGUCUCCCUGUGCCUCUUUUUUAUACUACUACUAAAUGUAAUGUAACGAGUGUGUUUGGAUUUAAUUGAUAUGUCAGACAAAUUAGAGCGGCACUUCUCCUACCCCACCCAUAUUCAUAUCCUUUACUGGAUCAUUAACCUAAUUAGAGGUGGCAAUAAUUGGUUUUGACUUAACGGAUGGUGGAUGAAAUUUAUCCAAUCCAUUUAAUAAAUGGAUGGAUCUAAAUGGAUUAAAUAAAAAUUAAUUAUCCAUUUAAAUAUUAUUUAUUCAUUGGAGCAAUUGGUUUGUGCUUUGAUUUGUAUAAUUAUGGGAGGCUGCCCAUUUUUCUGCUAGGCCCUCUCCUUCAAGCAUUCGAUCCACAUCCGACAUCUUAGGCCGGUGGGCGGGGGAGGUAUUGAGUGCAAAGUAGAGCAACUUGGAGCAUCUCACCCACCUCAAUCCGGUCACAGUUGACAGCCAAUUCUCUAUCCCCCAAAACUUCAAUUUUAUUUGAUUUUUAAGUAAAUGGAUAUAUAUGGUUUUCAUGGAUAAUUCAUUUAAUUUAAUGGUUUUACUUUGAUCAACCAUUUAAAAUCAAUACUAUAAAUGGGAUAAUCCAAAUCCAUUUAAUUAUGGAUUAUAUGGAUGGAUAAAUGGAUUUCAAUCCAAAUUGCCACCUCUAAACCUAAUAUUCUGACCUCCUGUUUAGGACCGCUCCUCCAUUCUUGAUUCUCGAGGAGCCCAGCAGCAAAGGAACAUUUCCAAUAUCAAUGACACUUUUACGCGUCCAAAUCGAUGGGAACGUGUGUGCAUGAACCCAUGGUAAAGAUUGCCCGCAUACGUACAACACAAGGAUGGGCAUGGAUCCCCAGCUACCUUUACUUCUUUAUGCCGCUGAAUUUGAAUCCCGCCACACCAAAUAAUGAAAAUCAAACACGCAAUUUCACAUUAAAAUUUAGUCUCUGUUUUCCUUGCCAAGCUCCAUGUGCCUGUACAAAGAUAAAUUAUUUGCAAUCUCUUUUUUAUUCCAGCUCAUUUCAGCAGUCAAGAAUGAAUAAUUAAUGGACACCGACACAAUCUGUUAGGGGAACCAGCCAAUAAUGAUUUUUUUGAACCAUCCAAUACAUUUCGUCAACAGAGCAGGUACUUCUACUCCCACUCCGUUUUUCUCAAUGCCUGCUGUUUGUCAUCUUCUCACGUUUAUAGUAGCUUCAAACCGGGAGCAAAAACAAACAAUGCGUGCGGUUGGUUGACCGAAUCAACUCUCAAAUAUUUAACCUCUCCAAAACAUUUUCUUGCCAACGAAAUCCCAAUGAUGUUUCUGCCCUUAAUUCGAGGAUUACUUCAUUCUUGUAAGAGAAUCAAGAAAAUACAUCAUCGUUUUUUCCAAAUAUUUCAACAUAGUAUUACUUUUUAAGCCCAUAGCUAACGACGAACUAAAUUCCUAUCCUAUCCUAUCACUUUCAGCCAGAAAAUCACUUCCUGGAUGAACACUUAUUUACAAUUCAAUAAUUUUAACCUUUAGUUGCAAUUAUUGGUGCAUGAUUGCAAGACAAAUAUUCUACUGGAGACGUAAAAAAAAAAAGUCAGAUUGAUUGGACCACACAAACACACAUAACGGAUAGGAAUGACUUUUAGGGUGGUCAGGUAGCACGCAGGCUAGAGUAGAGGGCCGAUAUCAGCAAUCUGUACUGCGAUGGCAGUGAAACUGGAAAUCUGAUGCGGUAAAGCUGUCCGACAAUGUCUACGUCAAUUCAUUUCCAUGUGUUAAAAUUAGACAGCAAAUUAAUCGUGCUAUUCCAAAAGAUUAUUGCUUCACUAAACCAUCACAUGAACGAGUACUAAGCCUAACUAAAAUUCCACCAACUCCAUGAUUCUGUCUCCAAAUUUCGUUUCUUCUUCAUUUUUUUUUUCUCUUUUCUUUUGAAGUUUGUUCUAUAAAUAACCAUAUCAUCCAUCACAAACCUUGACAUAAAACGAACUCUCUACACAAUCUAAGCGUCCUUGUAGAAGUCUUCAACCUUUGGUCUCCAAGAGUAACAACAGAGAGUUAACGAAAAUGACUCGGCCCAUGAGCUUUCUGAUUAUUGCAGCUAUGCUAGCUUUUGCACCGCUUUGCUUGUGUGGUAUGACAAGCGGAGGCUACCUGUAUCCUCAGUUCUAUGACCGGACUUGCCCAAAAGCUAAAGAAAUUGUGUAUUCCAUCGUUGCGAAGGCCGUUGCCAGAGAAGCCCGUAUGGCUGCUUCAUUGAUUAGGCUCCAUUUCCAUGACUGUUUUGUCAAGGUUUGUGCAUGCAAACUCAUUUACUCAUCUUCAGCAGCACACCUACUUAUCGCUUAUUCAGUGAUUAAUACACUUGACUAACCAAUUCUUCUUCCUGUUUCUGUUCUCCCCUUUAUAAUAAGGGAUGUGAUGCAUCACUACUCCUCGAUAGCAGUGGAGCCAUAAUCAGCGAGAAGAUGUCGAAUCCAAACAGGAAUUCAGCCCGUGGAUUCGAAGUCAUUGAUGAAAUUAAGUCUGCAUUGGAGAAGGAAUGUCCUCAUACUGUCUCUUGUGCUGAUCUCCUGGCUCUUGCUGCUAGAGAUUCCACUGUUUUGGCAAGUAUCAAGUUCUUACUAGCAAAUGAAGUUAUAAUUACUGCAUCACUUUCAGGAGAGCUGAUGGUAAAUGCAUUAUGCAGUCUGGUGGACCAAGCUGGGAGGUACCAUUGGGAAGAAGAGACUCCAGAGGUGCCAGUUUGAGCGGAUCCAACAGCAACAUUCCUGCCCCAAAUAACACAUUUCAGACUAUUCUUACCAAGUUUAAGCUUCAAGGGCUUGACAUUGUUGAUCUUGUAGCAUUAUCUGGUAAUAUACCAAGCUGGCACAGUACACACAAACAAUAAUAUAAACUUCACUUGAAAGCCGGUAGAUGCCACUAGAUAAUGAUCAUAAUAAGUUAACUCCCACUUAAUUAUCCCUUUCCGUUUGAAAAUUUCAAAAAGGGAACCCAAAAAAAAGUAUGGGGGCUUUCAUAUAUGAAGUGCUCUGAUUGUCCUGCAGGAAGCCACACAAUCGGGAAUUCAAGAUGUACCAGCUUCAGGCAAAGGCUUUACAAUCAAUCAGGAAAUGGGCAGCCUGAUUUCACCUUAAAUCAGGCAUACGCGAACCAAUUGCGGACCAGGUGCCCAAGAUCGGGUGGUGACCAAAACCUGUUUGUCUUGGACUUUGUCACCCCAACAAAAUUCGAUAACAGCUACUUCAAGAACUUGCUGGCUUCAAAGGGCCUAUUAAAUUCUGACCAGGUUCUUGUGACCAAGAGUGCUGUAUCACUACAGUUGGUGAAACAAUACGCCCAGAAUAACCAACUCUUCUUUGAGCAAUUCCCCAAGUCCAUGCUCAAGAUGGCAAACAUUUCACCUUUGACAGGUUCCAAGGGUGAGAUCCGCAAGAACUGCAGGACGGUCAACUCUUAGUCUUAAGACUACGUAGUCAUAGCUGCCAAAAAACGGCAUGUCCUAAUCUUUCUGUCACUCAAGCAGUCAGCAUCCACCUAAUUCUCCUCUCAGCGGCCGGGAACACCUCAGCAGUCAGCACGGGAUCAUCCUAUCCGCUCUCAUCUUCCGCUACUUAUUUAUUUCAGCUUGUAUUAAUUUUCAUGGAGCUUUGGCCGCAAUUUGUUGUUGUCCUGAAUGAAUUUCAAUGCUUUUUCCUCUUUUGCAUUUUCCAAGUUUUCGUUUCUUCGGGUACCUGACAACUAUCAUCUCAAAUUGGGCACUUUGAACUUACCCGUGGCGGAUAAUCAAAACUUGAACUCUGGAUUCACAUGUUAGAACUUUGCCUAAUGCCUCCAAGGGCAAAUACGAGCCCAGGGACAUUUUUUUUGGUCGGAACGUACUCUUCAUCUUGGAUAAUGCCUAAUGCAUGGGCACCAAGAUACUUCUAUUCAUAUUGUCAUUUCUUGUGCAAAAGAAAGAGCACUUUAAGAACACAGAGCUAAGGGAAUGGAUGUCCUCCAUUAAUGCCACACAUCGAACUUCAGGGCAGUUUCUUUGCUGGAGGGCUUUGAUUAAAGCUUUGUUGCUUAUCCCUACUUUAACUUUCCUCCAGUUUUUUCCGAUUGCUUUCAUUAGGACCAGUCUAACUGCUUCUGCAUCAUCCUGCAUCGAACUCUUGGAUGUUCUUUCUAGUUAUCUAGUUAUUGUACGAAAAUUUGAUGUAACCGUGACAAAAUAGAGUUAUGUAGCUUUCGAGAUUGGAAGACUAUAAUUAAUUUGGAUUCUAAUGCAACCAUAUACUAUUUCCAGCGAAGAUAAUGUGGAACAAAACAUCGACAGAUAAGUAGGGAAGUCGAGGAAAACCGAACCUUGGCAUCUGCUAUAUAUAUAUAAUCCAGCUAGGAAGGCAAUAUUAGACACGCACAAAAACCAAAAUGCUGCAAUUUGGUGGAGAGCGCCUGGAUAACAGGUCAAAAGACCCUGGUUUCACAUUGCUACUAGCAGUAAGAUGAAAUGAGAAAAUUCGACUUUUCCAACAGUAAAAGAAAAACUUCACCAUCAAAGAUCAAGGUCAGAAACUUUAAUCAGCAAACUUGAUUUAAACUUCCCAUAGGAGUAUCUACCAGUAGAUUUUAACAAAUUGACUUCAGCAAUUCGUUAAUUUCUAACUAGUCUAGAGCUAGAAAUGCUGCAUGGAGCUCAACAUGGUAAAAAGUUAAAAGUCUAUCUACAGCAAAGGUGUCAUUAAACUUUUUUUACAAAUCAAGUUCAAUAAUAGUUUAAACAGCCUAGUAACGAGCAAAGCUGAACUACAGGAGUCCAUGCACAAGAGACUUUCGGCAGAAUCCACUUGCUUUCUCCUUCAGAUCCACAACCUUUUUAUCGAUCUCCUCAGCCUUGUUCUUCAUUGCUUCCAGCUCAACUUUUUCCAAAAAGAUCUUCUGUUGUAAGACACCCAGCUCUUCCUCCUUUCUUGCAAUCAACUCAAAGUUUCUAGUCCUUUCUUUCUUCAGGCUAAAAUAGUCCCCAAGUAUAUGUUUAGCAUAAGAAAUUUCAUCUAUCUUCUGAUGGAGCCACUUGACAUCCAGCUUCAUGCACUCAAGAUCAUGAAUUAGAUGAAGCAAGUUAUUGAGCUCAAAAGAUGUAAUAUCAAGAAAUGCAGAGUUUUCGAGCUUUUGGUAGAUACCACAGACCAUUUCAAGGAAGAUUCCACGGGUUUUUGGAGACUCCAGAAUGGAGUUUUUAGCAAUGUCACCAUAUUUUGCAAAGAUAGCCCUAAGUAGGGGUGCGACUUCUUGGUUCACUCUAUACUGAUGUACUGUCACCAAAGCAGGAUCAAUUGCUGACUCGACCCCCUCAUUAUCAAGAAAAUCAUCAUUGGACAUAUGAGCCAUCUCAGAAAGGUUAAAACUUGGACAUCUGCUUAACUGGCUAUUUUUUUUAGUAUGGCUGCUUGUUGCAAUCUUCUCUGGUACUUCAUGGAUAGCAUUUGAUCCCAAAUUGGCACCAGUCAUGUGCAAAUUUUUUUCAGUUGAGUUCCGCUCAUUAAUGAGCGGAACAAGUGGAAGGAAAUUUUCAGGUCUUUCAGUUUGCGAAAGGAGAUUUGCAGUAAACUUUUCCACAUCUAGCCUGUCCCCGCUGCUGAUUGGAGCAGACCAUUCUUUGGUUGAAGCAGAACUUCCAGCAUUUUUCAUGCUUUUACCAAUUUCAGCACUGGUACUUGAGUGACUUAAUGAGGUAGCUGCAAAAGUAGAGACCUGUACACCAUAACACCAUCAUAAGGUCUGAUUACUGAAUGCUUCCAGAUUUACAUAUGAAAUGAAAUCAAUGAGGCAAUCAAGUGAAUAAAUCAAUUGUUAUUAGAAUCUUAACAAUUUACAGAAGUUACGAGGACAGACAAGGCUGAAGGCCUAAUUUCGCGUUACCUGAAUUUGAUGAGGGAGUUCUGAACUGCAUUUUUCUAAAGCUUUUACGUCUCCACCAGCUGGAUACAAUGUAUUGUUUGCCUCUAGCAAAACCCUCUUUGCUGUGACAUAAGAUUGCUUGGGAGUUCCAAUUUGGUGUCGAAGUGGAAAAGUGAGAGAAGCCGUGGAACUAGGACAUUCAUGAGGGACUGCAAAUGAACCUCGAGUUGGAUACCUAUGCUUUGCAGGCAGAAUCACUGUGUCCUAUAUAGACAUAUCAACAAAUUUAAAGCUCUUAUAUAAAUAGCCAAGACAAGGAACUGAACAAGUUUGUCUAUAGUAAUACAAAACCUUUAAAAUAUAAUUCAUAUACUAACGCUUUGCAGGGAAAAUUGCUGUGUCCUGUAUAGACACGUCAAGCUAAAGCUCUUAAGCCAAGACAAGAAACUGCACAACCUUGUCUAUAGUAAUACAGAAGCUUCAGUAUCUAUUUUAUAUACUCAGGUUCAAUGAAAAAAAUAUCCUUCUUUUUCUUUUUUUUUUGGGUUUUUUUUUGGGGGGGUGGGGGGUGCAAUCAAGUCUAAAGCUUUUAAACACAUAGCCAACUUAGGAUUACAGUGGAAAGGGGAUAAUAGCUUUCUGAAUAUGCUUAACAACCUACAACUAAUAGUCUUAGGGAUGUUAAAUAGUCCCACUGCAAGGGAAUAAUAGCAUCAUCUGCUUCUUUUAGUCUGUAUCUUUUUGUGUAAAAAAAAAAAAAAAAGAGUAAAGCAACAUACUUGAUCCUCUUUAUCAGGUAUGAGAAGAUAAAAUUCCAGAAAUACUAUGACAUUGCAACACUAAAGCAAGAAAUCCUGUGCAAAACCAUUAAGAUUGAAGCGCAAUGUUGCAGCGGAACUAUUUAUCACUGGUUAAAACCAUUGAAGUUCCACGAAAGUUGAAAUCUUUGCAGAAUAUAGAAACCAAAAAUAGAAGUUAUUUCUCCACGAAAUUCAAGAUGAAGGACCAAAUGGUCUGAUUCGUACUACUAAAAGGUUCAAUGAAUAACUAUCAAAGGGGCAAUGCAAAGCCUGGUAAUCAAAGAGAUUACACGAUCAUAACAAACCCCAGAAAGCCAUUGCUUGAAUGGAAAAGCAAGAACACCAGCAAAUUAUGCUGUUAAAAAAAAAUUAAGAAAAGCAGUAGAUAGAGAAUGUGGAUUUUGAAACAACCUGACGAGGAGGAAAUGAAGGUAGGAAGGGGUCAUCCAGUUGCAUUUGGUGUAGUCCACCACCACCACCACCUGCAGCAGCCUGAAGGCUUUCUUGAAUUAAUACUUCUUUUCGUUUUCUUCCUCUCUUACCAGGGCCAGCCAUUCCUAAUUUCUCUAUGCCUUCAGGGCCUCUCUCAAGGCUUUCAAGUUCGACGGAGAAAAUCUAAAAGAGAAAAUACAGCAAGCAAUAAUCAUAUGCUGUUGCUACCGCCAGUAAUAUACAACUACCAGAGGUACCAUUUGCAGUAACACACAGCACCAGACGAGACACGUUUUUGCGCCAGCGCAGGCAGUACGAGUCUCGUGCCUGCAGCCUGGCGUGUUUGCAUAAGGGAUUAUUUAAAAUAUUAUUUAGAAUAAAUAUAAUACUACUCUUUUUUUUAUAAUGUAAUAUAUAUGAAAUAAAAAAUUAAUUAAUAAAAUAAAAUAAUAUAUUAAAAAUUAUAUUUGUAAUAUAAAUAAAUCAUUUUUUACUAUUAUUUGGGUAUUCAAAUACAUAAAUGAGUGUGUUUGAAUAGAGUAUUAUUUAAAAUAAUUACUGUAAUAUUUUUUAUAAUGUGAUGUAUAAAAAAUAUAAAAUAUAUUAAAAAAUAUAUUAAUAAUAUAAAUAAAAUAUUAUUUAAAAUAAAUUUACAAUUCAAACACAUUCACGUCAAAUACACACCGUAAUUUUCAAAACAAGUAGUAGUAGUAGUAGUAAUUAGUAAAUAGUAAAAGACAAAACCAUUGACAAAUAAAAAGAAAAGAAAUAGCUAUUGAUGCUAAAAUGUAAAGCCUGCCUCUCAGUCCGAGAAAGCAAGGCCCAAACAUCCUUCCUAAAUCCCAAACCUUAAACCCACAAAAAUUUUCUCCGCUGGUGGGAUUAGCCCUCCCUCCGCAGUCCUCACUCGAGCUGCUUCUAAACUCACUGCAAUUUAGCAAUUUUAAAGCCAUGCUUCCGUAAUCUGUGAUUUCUUCACUCCCCAUAAUAGAUUGCUCUAACAAUGAGGCAUUUUUAUUGCCGGCUCAUUUCUCAAUCUCUCCGGUGCUUACAAUUUAAUUACACGAAAACCCACGUCCCAAAACCCCCGAUUUUGAGUCCCAGAUUCUCGAACUUCACGACCGUAGCUGAGCAACCAAAGCCGCCGCCUGCACCGCCGGCUAAUGUGUCCGCAAUUGUAGAUGAACUUUCGGGACUGACGUUGCUUGAGGUUUCGGACUUGACGGAGGUGUUGAGACAGAAAUUGGGGAUUGAGGAGAUGCCGGUGAUGGCGGUUAUGAUGCCCGGAAUGGGGUUUAGUGGUGCCGGAGUAGGAGGAGCAAAGGGGAAAGGUGGUGGGCCGGCUGCCGCGGCUGAGGAGAAGAAGGAAAAGACGGCGUUUGAUUUGAAACUGGAGGGCGGAUUUGAUUCUGGGGCGAAGAUCAAGAUUAUUAAGGAAGUGAGAGCGUGCACUGAUUUGGGAUUGAAGGAAGCUAAGGAUUUGGUGGAGAAGGCGCCCACAUUGUUGAAAAAGGGAGUAACCAAAGAGGAGGCUGAGAAGAUUGUCGAGAAGUUGAAGCAGGUUGGGGCUAAAGUCACGAUGGAGUGAGGUAACUGCUUUUGCAUUCAUGCUUAUUCGAUUAAGCUUGGACAGAGUUUAAGCUAUUGGUACUUUGUUCUUAUGAUUCGGGAAUUUAAGUGCUUAUAUUCCAUUAUGAUGAAUUGGGUGUCUCAAUAACUGAAUUUGUUGGCAAAACUGGCUGCUUUCAUAUUUCAGGAUCUCGUUUGAUAUAGAUUCUGAACUUGUCAUUCAGGCAUUUGUAGAAUGAUGCUAUCUUUGCUGUUUUUGUACGGUCUUGUCCAGCUUUUUUCGUGGAUAAAUAGGUUUUAGCCAUAUGAUGAAUAAAAGUAUGGAUUUUGUUGCGUGCAUUGUCUGGAGUCUAUCACCUGAAUUGCAGUCACACAGAGUUCUGCCUGCUUUCAUAACUCAAACUUGUUUCAGUUGCAGUUGGGCUUGAUAAAGUUUUCGUGUUGUUAAUUAGGAUGGCCAAAGAAGGCAAAUGGAUAGUGGAGAUGUCUAAUAACUUAAUAAGAAGGCAAAUGGAUAGUGGAGAUGCUAUGGCCAUAUACUUUGAUCUGGUCAAAUUUUUCCUGACCAUAAUAGGAAUAUAGUUAGACAGAUUUCAAGUUACUUUCAUUUGGAUUUAAGAACUAUCCAUUUUUUUGACUGAAAAUUCAGGAGGACAUACUACCUUGUAACUUGUAAGUGGUAUUCUAAAUGGUGUCUCAGGAAGCACAUUGGAAUCAUUAUAUUUUGUGUGAAGCUCAAUUGCCAUGGGGCAUCAUGGAGGUGGGGUUAGGGCUGUCAUUUGAAUUUUAAUAAAGAUGGUCUCUAUCUCCUGUACACCCACUUUCCAUGUCAUGGUAGUAGGAGUAGUGAAGGUGCACGCAGUGUGGCAUAUUUAAGAGUUCAGGGUGUUCAUUAAACUCAUUAUAGAUAUUAUUUUCUUCCUGGCUUUCAGAAUAAUUUGAAUUUACAAUUACAUGUUGUAAAGUGCUUGGAUAUUUGGAACUUUUUAAUGGGUACUGAUUUGCAUAUUACGCUUUUUGUUCAGGAUUUUUCCAUUUUCAAUGCUAGCAGCAUAACAACUUCUAGAGGUUCCGCUCUGCAACCUGAUUCUGCUGCAGUUGAUGUAUUAAUGAAGUUAUUGGUUGAUAGGCAACACGUAUUAGUUUGACCUUUGAUCACCGAGAGUAGUAUUUCUGUAACUCCUUUUAUUACGAUUAAGCUCAAAGUGUAUGGUAAGCUUGAGUUACAUUUGUUACAGCUCUGCAACCGAAGUGAAGUAUUUCCAUUUGGGUUGGUUGUUCAAGCUGCAGACAACGCAUAAUCUUUCUUGUUUGGGCUAGCUAUUAUGAAAUUCAACAGAUUUAAGAAGUUUCUUCCCAUACGUAAUUAGAUUGAGUCAAGGUUGUUACAUUUUUGAAGUAGCUUUGUAUGACCUGAACAUCUUCAGUAUUUGUCAUGAUGGUUAUCGUUCGAGCUUUUAUCUUUCUUAUGGAAUGCUUAAAUUUCUGAGAAACUACUUGUAUUAUAAUAUUAAGCAUUUGACAUGAGAUUUUACAAUUAUUUUGUUGUUGUUCAGUUAUUGUUGGUUGUGGCUGAUUUUUGACUUUACUCUCUGAUCUCUAAAGCAAUUUUAUUGCUGAAAACAAUUGAAUGUUGUUCCUGAAUUUACCUAUGAUGGCUGUCUCCCUUGCCACGAUGUAGUAUAACAGGGCCAAAUCAUGCAUGAUUUCUGCCUUUUGGUCAUGUGUAAGGGGCAUCUCCUGUCUUCUAUUCGGGACAGGAGUACUUUUAUCAUUAUAAGAACAGAAGGUUCUAAGCUCUCAAGUAGUUGAGAAUUUUUGGAUCUUGACUAAGACAAUGACUAGUUAUCUUCAGCUAUUAAAUUAAAUGUAUAGAUUGGUUUGCAUUGAUUCUAUGCCUUCUUUAAGCUGGCAACCGAAUACUGUGACUGCUGCAUCAAGAUAUCCGACUUCUGGAGGAUGAAAGAUAUUGUGGUAACCUUUUAGUUUUAGGCGUUGGACCGUCUUUACUUUCCCUAAUGGUAUGAAAAACAGUUAAUCACAAGUCACAAGCUGAGAAGCACCCUUGGUCUUCUCGCGUUGCUAUUGUCCUUCAGUAAGUGGUGGAGACCUGAGCUUUCAAUGCUGGUGGUGCGGCGUUUUCUGGCCCGACGACUCUGCUUCAUUCCAUCCAUCCCUAGUCCAGUUUUCACUUGCAAAAUGCAUAAAAGCAAGAAAGAAAAAGUUGCCACGGAAAUAUAAUAAAAGAUGUGAUGUGUUGAAAGAAGCACAUUUAUAAUAUUAACAAUAUUAUUUCGGCAUUUAAUAAUAUUAACAAUAAUAAAUUUCUUCUUAUUCUUUAUUUUGACAAAACGCACGCGAGUACUCCGUGAAGGAAGUCGAGCAGCACGCUAAUCUUUGAACGAAGGGAACAUAAUAAUAAAACUUUCACCAUCAAUCAGAGAGUAUAAAAGGAAGAAUUAUCAGUAGGCUAAAACAUAGUUGUCAAAAUUGCGAUCCGGAUCGUACGAUCCUACGAUCUGGAUAACCAAAAUCGUUCCGGAUCGUAUUCAGAAUCGCAAAUCAUAACCAAAAUCGAUCCGGAUCGUAUUCAGAGUCGCAAAUCAUAUUAAUCUCUGUAUUUUUUUUUUUUCGGAAACGAUAGAUGAUAUUUCAUAGAAAUUUGAGACUUUACAAUAUUUGAGCAACGGCUCGACUAACUGUACCAAGUGUACCAUGACACUUAAGGAGGAACAAAGGUUCUCUCCUCAUCCAUACAUAUGCUUAGAGCAUAAAGACUAAUCUGAUUACAUAAAUUCAUAUUACUAAUAUCCCUUACAACAAAGGAGCACACUUGAAAUAGCUUAGCUAAUGCUAGAAUAUCUUCCACCAGCGUGACCAUAUUUGGAUGAUCUCCUGUCCCAUUUUUUAGUAAGGAGGUAAGCCUUUUGUUGGCAGUGACAACUUUGAUCCUUGGCCAUCUCAGCUGACUUGCUUUUAUAAGAGCCAAUCUUACUCCUAUGGCUUCAUCUUGGAUAGUCUCUGAUGAGCUCCUGUCUACUAGCGCCCACUCCACUAUGCUUCGUCCACCUUCCUGCUGAGCCACCAUUCCUAUUCCUAACUUAUGACCCUCCCCUUCCUUAUUUGUCACAACCUGGACUUCUGUUAUUCCAUUAACCUCCAAUCCUUCCUCCUCCAGACUUGAAUUAGCUGCCUCUGUUUCUGGUGUGCUUCUGUCUUCCUUUCCACUACUAGCCUCCUCAAACUCCAGCCACUCUGAGUUAGCCUUAUGAACUACUCUUACUCCUUCUCUUUCCUUCCCUUCGAAUUCCAGCUCAUUCCUGUCUUUCCAUAGUUGCCAGAGAAUGUUUGCCGUCAGAGCUAUGUGCUGCUUUCCUUCUCUCCUAGCCUUGGCUUGUACUAAAGUUGCCCACCAUUGUUUGAAGCAUCCUGUUAGAUUCUGGAUUCCAUCCCAUUGCACAGGAGCUAACUUCCAAACCUGUUGAGCCUGAGUGCAGUGAAACAAAAUGUGUUCAACUGUUUCCACCUUAUCCCCACAUCUUAGACAAAAUGGUGAUCCUUGUCUUGUUCUUCUGAAUAUUGUCUCCCUGGCUGUUAGAGUAUUGGUUAUACACCUCUAUAUGAACAGUUUUAUCUUAUGUUUGAUGUUCAGCCCCCAUAAAGACUUCCACAUCUGUGUGUUAGAAUCAUCAAAGCUAGAGCCGGAUUCCCCUCUUACAGCCAGUUCCUUGCUUUUUUCUUCCUUUAGCAGCACUUGAUAACAAGACUUAACUGAGUACUCCCCUUGUUGACUAUGGAUCCAAAAGUGCCUGUCACCCACUCUUGACAAACUGAUAGGAACCUUCAGAAUGUUCUCAGCAUCUUCUUUAUUAAAUGCUCUGAAUAUUUUAUUUCUGUUCCACCUGAAGUUGGUAAUCAGCUCAUCUACUGUGCCUUCCUCCCAAUCGUUUGGUUUCCUUGUGGUAGGUACCCCAUUAGGACUAUUUGGGAUCCAUUGGUCUUUCCAGAUCUUGAUACUCUUUCCUGAUCCAACUCUCUUCAGUGUUCCUUUCUUCACUACAUCCCUCGCAGACAUAAUGCUUUGCCAGAACCAGGAAGAAUAUUUGGGGCAUUCACCUUGUAAUAUGGAUGUCUUGGGGUAAUAUUUAGCUUUGAGCAUUCUGCUUACGAGCAGGUUUGGGUUUCUUAGGAGUCUCCAAAUCUGUUUUCCCAAUAAUGCUAUGUUGAAACACUGCAGAUUUCUAAACCCCAGUCCUCCAUCCAAUUUUGCCUUCAUCAUUUUUGUCCAUGAACACCAGUGCACCUUAGCUUUCCCUUCUGAGUCCCCCCACCAGUAUUUAGCCAUCAACCCUGUAAUUUCCUUACACAACUUAGUUGGUAGUUUGAAGCAAGACAUAGUGUAGGUUGGCAUUGCCAUAAUGACAGCCUUUAACAUAACCUCCUUUCCUGCUGCACUUAAGAAUUUAUUCUUCCAGCUGCUUAGUUUAGCUUUGAUACUGUCCUUUAUGAAUCCAAAAAUCUGGCUUUUUGUUCUUGUAAUCACCAUGGGGAGGCCUAGAUAUUUGCCUUGAUUCACUACCCUUACCCCUGCAAGAGGCCUACAUGUCUCCUCCUUGUCCCUCUCCUUAGUAUUCUUACUGAAACAAAUGGAAGAUUUUUCCAAAUUAAUCACCUGCCCAGAUCCUCUCUCAUACUGCUCCAGUAUUUCCUUCAACUUCCUUGCUUCUUCCCUUACAGCUUUACAGAAGAUUAAUGUGUCAUCUGCAAAGAAUAGGUGGGUAAUGGCUGGUCCAUAUUUGCUGAUCUGAAGUCCACUUAACAGCCCUUGACCUGCUGCUUUCCUUAGUAAAUUAGAUAGUCCUUCUGAACACAGCAAGAAGAGGUAAGGUGACAAGGGGUCACCUUGUCUGAUCCCUCUAGAUGGCAUCACAUAUCCCUUGAUUUCCCCAUUGAUAUUGAAAGAAUAAGAGACUGAAUUGAUACAGCUCAUUAUCCAUUCCACCCACACCUGGUUGAACCCCAUCUUCUCCAUCACAGCUUUCAGAUAUCCCCAUUCAACCCUAUCAUAAGCCUUGGACAUGUCUAUUUUUAAAGCAGUAAAUCCGUCCUUGCCUUGUCUCUUGUUUUUAAGGAAAUGAAGGCAUUCGUGUGAUAUAAUAAUGUUGUCCAAUAUCUGCCUGUUGGGGAUAAACGCAGAUUGAUUUUUGCAGAUGCAAAGGUCAAGAACUGGUUUGAGUCUGUUAGCUAGAAUCUUGGAGAUGACUUUGUAUAGAACGUUACAAAGACUGAUGGGUAGCAGGAUCGCCUAAAAUCGUAGUAGGAUCGGUAGGAUCGUACGAUCCUACAAUUUUUUUGUAACUUUGUGAAACACGAAACUCCAUUUUGCAAGUAAAUGAAAAUAUUUGUGAUAUAUUUGUAAUUUAUCAAAAAAUUUUAACCUUUAAUUACAAUUAAGAGCUUUUGAUAGGAUCACGAUCCUGUGUGAAACUAAAAUCGAUCCCACGUAGUACCCAAUUUUACAAACCUUGGCUAAAACUAAACCCCAACAAAAGAGAGAAGCCGCCUCAAAAGAGAAUUGAAAAUGUCGUCCAAGGCAAGCAACCAAAGUAUAUAAAUUCUCAGUAGCGUCUUUGGUUAGUUUCCCUCCUCUACUGUUACUUCCCAGGUUCAGAUUGUAUGGUGGCGGAAUCCAUCAUUUAUUGAUUGCUUGCCAUUCUCUUCUCUUCUUAUAGGAUAGGAAUAGACUUGAGCUUCCACGAUUUGUGGCUUCCGUAUCGUUCUCCGUAAUAUUUGGGCGUCUUAUUCUCUCUUUCUUGCUUGAUCAAUGAAAAGAAAUGAUAGGAAAAACGCUGUCGUAGCAGAACCAAGAAUACUGACGGAGCUUUAAUAGCAGAGAUGUCGGCGUGGCGGUCGGUGGUGGACUGGCAAUGGGAGAACGCCACCGCCGGCGCUCUCGCCGGUCUCGCCACCGUCACUUUCUCUCAUCCCCUUGACGUAGUCCGUACCAGAUUCCAAGGUUACCUCCCGCCCUUCCUUCCUUCCUUCCUGGCCCCAUUCUCUCUAGUCUCGUACGUAUAUGCAUUAACUCGAAAAGGAAAAGGAAAUAAAAUCAUCAUGACGAUUAGUUUUUGUUUAUUUUCCAAAUAGUGCACGACGGGCGAAUCUCCAACCUCCCGAGCUACAAGAAUACUCCUCACGCUCUCUUCACCAUUGCUCGCUCCGAGGUUUGUUUCUUUUUUCAGCAUCGCUUCUUCUUUUUAGAUACCUUCGCUUCAGGAUUCCAGGUAGAUGAGGGGUUGAUGGUAACUCAUGUAGCAAGUCCUUUUGCUGACAUUACUUUUUUAUAUGAAUUUUGAAUCAGCUCUUCUUCCUUUUAAAGAUUUGAGCUUACAGAAACGUGAAAGUUUACUCUUUUUUUUUUAAAAAAAAUUGACAUUGAUGUUAUCAAUGCUCUUGUAACUGGUCAACUUGCAAUACGACUUGCUUUUGGUGAUUAUAUACAAAUUUGAUUUUCUCCUUCUUCUUCUUCUUCUUUUGGCAGUAUUUCAAAUUUUUAUUUUUUCCCCUCUUAUUGGCUAUAGCUCUGGUAUCUAAUUUCUACGCUUUCUGCCUCAGGGUCUCAGAGGGCUUUAUGCAGGCUUUUACCCUGCUGUUCUUGGGUCAACUUUUUCAUGGGGUUUGUAUUUCUUCUUGUAAGUUUUACUUCUCGGGUCUUUGCUAAUAUCUUGUAAUACACAACAAGACUAUUGAGUCUAGUUCACUUGGAUAAAGUAAUAUAUUAUUUUUUCAAGUUGAAGAUGAAUGCACCCAAUCAUUCACCUUUUUCUAGUGUAUGUUUGCUAGUGUAUCAUGUUUGGCAUUUUCUCCAUACUUUUAGUUUCUUCCAGCAUCAUCUGUUCCUUUUCUGAUAAAAGAAAAUAAGUAUAAUAACAAUAACUUGUGCAGCAAUUGAAGGUUAUUGCACUUGGACUUUUUCUCUAAUUCCAUUUCCCGGUUGAAUGAGUCUCCAGCUAUAAGCUUUGUUUUCCAAUUUGGAGAUAAUUUUCCUGCCUAUUCGACAUGAUAUUCUUUUAUGCAGCUAUAGCAAGGCCAAGCAGAGAUAUCUAGAAAAUAGGCCAGAGCUGAGCCCAGGCCUGCAUCUAGCUUCAGCUGCUGAAGCGGGAGCUUUGGUUAGUACUGUACUUAAAUGGAAUUCUGACUGUUUUAAUUGCUGCUUGUGCCAAUUUUAUUGUGUAUAAUGCAGUUCCAAAAUUGAAAUUUGGACAUCUAUUUCAACCUGUAACAAAAGUGAGGUUGUGCCUAUCUCAGGUUUCUUUGUGCACAAAUCCUGUUUGGUUAGUAAAAACAAGACUUCAACUACAGACUCCUCAACAAGUCCGUCCAUACUCUGGCUUUCAUGGUAUGCUCAGCUCUUUCAUGGUAUUAGAUUUUAAUUCAUUUGCCUCUGAUUUACUAUUAGGAAUAAUUUAAAGUAUUCUAAUCAGUUUUGGUAAAGGGACUACUAUCUAUUUCCCGUGAUAUUUGCAUACAUAUCUAAUUCAAAAUUUUGAACAGCUGUAUCUGUCUACAUUUCCUUUUCAGCAUGUUUAUGAACAUUAUUCUUGCUUUCUGCUGUGACCAAUCUGAGGUUCAUGUUUUCCUUCUGAUUGUAGAUGCUUUAAGGACGAUUCUAAAAGAAGAAGGGUGGAAAGCACUUUAUAAGGGGCUGGUGCCUGGCCUUUUUCUUGUUAGCCCAUCUCUUCUCUCUCUCUCUCUCUUUCUCUCUCUCUCUUUCUCUCUCUCUCACACACACACACACACAAAAUGGCAGCUUUGUUCGGUUAUUGAAUUUAUUGGUUUGACUGGCUUCCUUUCAUUGUAUACUCAUGUAAACAACUGACUGGUCCUGGUUUUGCUUCAGCAGGUUACACAUGGAGCUAUUCAAUUCACUGCAUAUGAGGAACUUCGUAAAGCUUUCAUUCAACUCAAGUCUGAAGGAGGUGAAGGCUCCACUGAUGACUCAUUGGUGAGUCUUCAGCAUAUAUACCUGUCUGUAAAUUGUUAUGGGGCGAACCUUUAGGCCUGUUCUCUUUGGUUUAAAAUAAGCUAAUUUUAGCUUUUUUUGAGCAAAACUAAAAGCUGCAUUUGGGCAUCCUUAUUUGCUUUAAACUAGUGCUUUAUGCUUUCCUUAGGCUUAAAAAUUCUGAUUAUGAGAAGCAGGUGUUUUGUUUUAUGAGAAAGCCUUGCAGGACUUCACCUGAUAAGUUUUGUGUAUCUGUUUGAUAAACCGAAUUCGCUGCUGCUUGUGUGCAUUUGGGACAUUUGUCUUCUGUAAAAGUCAUAUCGCUCUUUCUUAUCUUUAAUACAUCCUUUCUGCCCCUAGUUUAAAAGAUACAAGUGUGUUGUCAGUGUAAGGAUUUAGAGUAAACUCACUAGGACAGAACAUGAGAAGUCAUAAGUUAGUUUUAGCUUUUUACACAUCUUAUGACUGCACUACAUUUUUUUCAGUGUUGGCUUUUUAGGUAUCUUAUGAAUGCCCUACAUUUUUUUCAUUUUAAUGUUAAAUUCUCCUGUAGUUGCAUACUUGGCCACCUUUGGAAAGUUUCACCUCUCUUUGUUAAAAAUUUGAAGGCGAGUUGAUUUUGCUUCUUCUACAUGUAUAACUGUAUUAUGUUGGUACUUAAUUCUCACUUUGCUGUUCUGUUUUAAUUGUUAGUAAAAGUUUAAGAUGAAUUUUCCUAUUUUUUGUUUCUCUUUUUGGCUUUGUAGUCCUAUUUGGUCUCUUUCCAUGUCUGCGUAUCAAAUUCCUCUGGCUUGGAAACGCAGAAUAAUUGCUGAUUUGCUCUUCCUUCAGGAUUUAGAAGUUUUAGCAUUGUAUUGUAUUUUCUUGACAGGAUUCAAUUGAUUAUGCGGCAUUAGGGGCUACUUCAAAACUGGCUGCCAUUGUUUCAACGUACCCAUUUCAGGUAGACAGCUGCACAAACCCUAUCUAAAAUUUGGUUAUGUUGAUGUAUUUUUAUUUUGGAAGCAUGUUAUAUAUACUUCUCACAGUAUUAUAAUCGCUUUACUAAGACCUUGUUAACACUGUAUUGCAGGUCAUUCGAUCUCGACUGCAGGUGAGGAACCUAAACAUUCACUUGAUCUUAUCCAUAUCUUUCAUAUUCACUCACGAGAUGAGGAGAGAGACUGUGCCACUAAGGAUGAUGCUCUGGGUGGCUUACUGAGAGGAAAAAAAAAUGUUUAGAUAGGGAUAUACAUAUGAUCUUGUUUCUUCCUGUAUUAUGGUAGCUAAUGGCCAAUUUGAUUUUUACUCUUCCUUCUGUAGCAACGGCCGAGUACAGAUGGAAUUCCAAGAUACAUGGACAGCUGGCAUGUAAUGAAACAAACAGCAAGGUGAAAUCAAAAUUUUCUCCCAGUCUUGUGGUGAUCUUUCUCUCCCUCGUACACACACGCAAACGCACGUGCACACGCACAAUCACAAUCACAAUCACAAACACAUGGUCCUUGGCAUGUUGAAAGUACUGUAGGACAUUCUUUGCAAGACCUGGCUGAAUGCAACAACGAGAAUCAUCUGUCAAGUUUGUGCAACAAUCUUAGCCAAUUUCUACUUUAACAAUGGGAAAAUUUUCAUUACACUUUCUUCACCUUUAGCCUUCCUGUGGAAACUUUAUUAGUUUACAAUUUGUUUUACCUUCCCCGUUUUCUGUUCACAGGUAUGAGGGUCUACGAGGGUUUUACAAGGGUAUCACUGCAAAUGUGCUAAAAAAUGUUCCAGCUGCUUCGAUAACAUUUAUUGUGUAUGAGAAUGUUCUAAACAUGCUAAAACUGGCUAAAUGGAAAGAUCAAUAGCUUAGCUAAUUUUUGUAAUCAAGAAAUCUACAUGUUAGUAUCAAAACCUUCGGAAAAGAAAAGUUGUAGUUGAAAAAUAUGAUAUAUGGUGUAGUACCCAAUGCGACAGCAGAGAGGAGUGAACUAUGAACAGUUGAGGCAAAUGUCCUGUUCAAUUGUCUGUCGGUUAAAAUUGAUUGAAAGUGUUACAUCUCUAGUUUGUUACAUUGUCCAACUUCUGAUACUGUCUACCAAACACAUUGUCUUGGGUUCUAGCCACGAUUUGCACGCAUCAAAGAUGGAACUUGCAGACCAAGUUCGGGUUCCUUAUCCAUCAGAGUCUUGUAUCUUUUACUUUGUGAAGUUAUAGCAGUUAGAUAUUUGCCAGUUCUAUGUUCAGAAAUUUCAAAAUCCGAAUAGAGUAUGUAAUAUACAAUCUUUUUCAAUGGUGGUGCAUGGAGCAAUUAUUUUCAGAAAUUUUUUUUUUUAAAAAAAAGCCAUAUACAAUCUAUUUCUACAUUGGUACUUGGAAUAAUGUAAUACAUUCCAGUUACUUUUCCCUCACUGUGGGUUAUUAUUGAAAAACAAGAUUCCACCGAAAAGGCUCCACGCUGAUUGAGGUCUAUCUGAUUCAGUGUCUUCGCAUUUGAACAACAAAAUUUCGGCCAACGUUACAGCUUUCUGUAGACGGUAGAGUCUCUACAAAGCAUGACGUAUAAAGUCCCAUUACUUGGCAGGAAAUUUUCGGAGGAAGGAUAGAAUUUGUUCGGAAACCUCUUGAGCUCUCUCUUGUUGGAUGAAAUGAUGGCCGUCUAGUAUGACGACUUCAUGGUUGGGUACUAGGCUCUUGAACACAUUUCCUUCUAUGUACUCCCUGGUGCCAGAAUCAAAUCCAAUAUCCUUGUUCCCCACAAUUAGCUUUGCUGGAACUGUUAUUUUAGACCCUUGCCACGGUGCAAGUAGCUCCCAAUUCCUGUCAUCACAUGACGUUCACAACGGGAUUAACAGGACCAGCUACAUACUGAUACCGGAGCAUAUAAACUCUUGCUAUCUAACAAAAUCGAGGUGAAUUUCGUGUUCUUGCACAUUAUUACGCUACAAAAGAUUGAUCAUGGCAACUUAAUUGAGUGAUAGGCUUGUCCAGUCUGGUUAGGGGUGUUUUCAUUUGCUACAGUUGAUUAGUGUUGGAACUGCGGUUAGACUUGCAGGUCCAUGGCUCGGUAGUAAUUGAAAGCUCCUGUAAAACCAGACUCUAGGAACUUGUCAGCGAUGACCUGAAGUUCAUCUUCUGUAAUCCAGCGCGGUAAGUAGGAAGGGGUUUCUAAAUAAUCAAUAAUCUCCAUACCAGGAGGAGCUAUCAGCUGAUCGGUCUUGCUAAUGAGAUAGAAUUUCUUCAUCACCGUAAGAUAAUCAUACCUCGCAAAUGAUUUUUCUGCUCUUCCAGGUUCCUACCAUUUCGGAUUGGCACUGAUUUUAUCAAAUAUGAAGAUAUUUGUAGCAUAGCCAGGAAACAGAAAUCAAGAAUACCUGAAACUGGCAAACGUAGAAAUUAUCUCCAAACAUCUGUUUGAAUGAGUCGGUCGUUUUGAUGGUUGAAAAUCUUGGUGUGAAUGGAACCGAGAGAGCAACUAUACCUCUAACUCUAUUUGGCCUGAGCAGGCUCAACUGCCAAGCAGCCGCAGCUCCCCAGUCUAUCCCCACCACAAAGGCCUUGCCAACAAAUAAUCAAGUCGUAGUUUUACAAAACUACAGCUCAGAAAGUAAAGCUCAAAAAAUCGUGCAAAUUAUCAAACAAAAGAAUUUACCUGCUCUUGGCCAAAAUGAUCCAGAAGGCCGAUGAGAUCGCCAACUAUGUGGAAAGCAGUGUAAGAAGAGGGGCUGAGGGGGGAGUCAGUGUCUCCAUAGCCUCUCAAGUCAGGUGCAACUACGCGGUAACCGUGUUUUGCCAAGAAGUUGAUUUGAUGGCGCCAGGAAUACCAUAUCUCAGGGAAGCCAUGGAGGAGUAAAACAAGUGGCCCUGUUCCUUUUUCAGCUAUGUGCAUCCAUAUACCAUUUGUCUUGAUUCUCUGGUGAUUGACAUCCGCGAUGACGCUCAUCAUUUUUACCUCACAAAACUUUCAAAAUUGAUUGCCUGCUAUGAUGAUCGCUUUGUUUGAUAAUUUAUUUUCUGGGUUAUUUGGGAUUAAUCGUCAUCAAUUGACUAUGGGCAAAGGCGUAAGCGAAGAGACUUAGUAGGCAAGGUCAAGAAUAUGCAGUCAGUGCUUUGGUGUCGAACAUUGUUUGGCUGCUUGUCUCAAGCCAGGCAUGCAAGGGUGUUCCGGUCAAAUCCGGGUGAAGAGCUGAUUGAUGACCAAGAAAGAAGCUGCUUGAGUAUGAACUAUGAACUAACACCCUACCAAGGACAAAUGAUGUUUGAGUUUGAAUAUUGUCAUGAAGGUGUACUCCAUUUCAUCAAAUGUCUAGAAGUAUACUCCAGAUUUAUUUCUCGAGGAUUUACAUCUAUGCAACAGAUUCAUAGAUUGAUUUUCAGUACUCCCGACCAAGACUUGGCUACAAUUCUAUUGAUCCUUUUUUUAUAGCGACACCAUGUACCACGAGGUCGAGAACAGGAGGACACUCGGACAAACUCCUCACUCUAACGAGAAUUCAGAUAGUAUAUAAGAAAUUAAAUGUCUUCGGAAAAUUAAUUUGGAUUAGAUGAUGCAAUCACCACAAACACAGCACAGAUUGGAGUUCAUGACACUGCACAUUGUACUUCUAGCAGCGAGCACAAAAUAGGAGUCCGCUCUUCAUUUACAAAUACCAGGAAAAUAGUCAAUUCACAUUGAAUUGUUCUUCGGCACUACUCCUGGUUGCCAAUAUUUAGCUUUACUUUUAAGCUGAAUUCAUCUACCAAUGGAAUAAGAGCUGAUUUGCCUCCUUAAAACAGUUAAUGACAGUGAAGAAAUUAUUAUUUUUACACUUUGUCAUCAUGAAACCACCAUCUUGUUUCCUUUGGAGAUCUGCCAUUUUUACAGUUUCUUACAUAACGAUCAUUGUCUUCUGGUGGUUGCUGCACAUACAGGCAACGAAGGAUUAAUAUGCAUCCGAGAUUUGCAGGUGAUUGAAAAAUACCUAAUCUAGAAGCCGUCAAGGACUAAUAGAGGCAUACCUUUACGGUUGAACUUGACAGCAUUGAUAGAAUGCUGAUACAGACAGAGCUAACAGUCAUGGCAGGGGACCAUGAGUCAUACAGAAUAUCUGCAUUGCACGAGGAUAUAUAAGAUAUGAUUUACUGAUUUUCCGAAGGCCAGAGUCACAAUGAUAAGUAUCUAACUGCAUGGAAGGCAUUACAAGCAAAGGCAAUCAAGACGGUCUCACAUUGGGCCUUCAUUGCUUUCACCAAUGUUAACGUCAUACAUUUUAGGACCAGCUGUGGAGCCAAUAUUCGCAAGUUGCAGGAGGCAAAAACAUAGAGAUGCCAUUUCAUUUAGUUUUGAAAAUGUAAUUCUCCUAAAAGUGAACUCAAAAAUCUAAAAUUCCUAAUGAGUGUUCUAGUAAGUAAGGAACGAGGUACUCCCACUUCCUCUCUUAAUCUGGGCUGAGGAUCUCUGACCAGAAACUUAAAAAUCCAAGCCAUUAUAGCUUCAAGCUUCUUGUCAUUCACCUUGAGUAAUCCAGAGAUGUAUUCACAGGAGAAGCUUUGAUUCUCUCCAUUCACAAGAAAAAAAUCUUAGUUUUAAUAGGAAGCCAAAUAGCCAAUCAUAUUCUUGUAUCCCUAUCAAGCAGAGAACAAUAUCGAGCUAGAUGGGGACAUGCAAUUCCCACUAAUGCUAUCUCAUACUCUUGUUACCCCUUCCUAAAAGAGCAAUUUCUACAACAUCCAGUGUCAACAAUUGGUAAUGCAGCUUGUCUGUAAAAUGAAAAUCCCAAUAAAUGCUGCAUUUCUCAAACCUCAUAAGAGGAUAAAGAGUCUAAACCUUAACAUGCAACGGUCCUCAUAAUAUGCUUUUUGUUAGCACAUGCUAAAAAUUACAACAAACAACUUUAAGAAACUAUAAAAACAAGGACUAAACGGCUUCAAUCAUAUGAGGAAUUUUUCCUUCUCUUAAGAGAGAAAUAGAGAAACCUAUUUUCAGGAAGAUUGGAAAGACAAGUGAGGGUACAAUUAAUACAUAGAAGAUUUGAAGAAACGGCAAUGUUCUCAAAGUAACUGCCAUCUCAGUGCGUUCAAAUAGUAGUGAUUUUUGCACAUAAUAGAACUAUCGCUGUCAUUGCAUGAUGGUGACAAUAAAUUUAGUGGUGGCGUAACAUAUAACUCGCACAAAUCUUUCCAUUUCUUGAGAUGCUAAACUUAAUUAGACAAAAAGAGUUUUAACAGCAAAUAGAUUAGAUCCCCUGUAUUGACAUCCGCAGAAAAGGCAAAUAAGGACAAAGAACACCAACCUAACAAUCAAAAGAGCAAAGAAAUCUCUGCAGAUUAACUGCAUCCGGCAAACCUAAGUGGCAAAGAUUUUUUAUGAAAUGUCAUAUGAUUAAGCUUACCUAAACAAAUGUGGCCAUUGCUAUAGAUAUGAGGGUGCAAAGGAGCCGGGCUCAAAAAUAUCACCUUGCAUCAAUCCCAAAUUAAAAGAACAAAUCAGAAUGCCAUUCAAAGAAACUUUUGCCAAAAUUAUACACAGUAACUCCAAAAAUUAAAACAAAAAAGAAGAAAUACUGUAAAAAGAUCCAACCUGGGGCGCUUCCAUAGGAUAAUGUUCUGGAAAAUCUACUUGUAGCUGAAAUGUUUCAUUAGCAUAUAAAGUUCCAGGAGCUCCAUGCACUUCAAUGACCCACCUUUUUAUCAAAUCAACUUACUAAAUCAAUAGCUAAUCACAAUUAUAAACAACUACAAUGUUACAAAAAGCAGUAAUUCAUUCAUUAAAAAUCGAUUUAGUAUCAAUAAUUUCCCUGUACGAAAUGAAUAAAUCCCGUAUCAUAUCAACGUCCACCCACCGCCCUCCCCCCCCCCCCCCCAAAUAAAAAAAAAAAAAAAGGGAAUAAAACAAUUGUUAGGAGCAAGAAGCAAUUGGGCUAAAAAAAGUGAAAACUGAUAAACAAGAAAGAAAAAGAAAACAACCUCUGAAGAUUAUCGGUGGGCUUGUGCUUAAAACCAGCAGGAGGAUUGACCUGCCACUCCACCAGCUCCUUCUGCAACCGGUUGGUCGCUAUUUUGCUUAACGCCUAAUUCAACAAUUACUAUUGUCAAGAUAAUAAUCUUUAAAUGAAUCUAAGAAAGAAAGCUCUACAUCGGAAAAGAAAAGCUAAAAUUUUGUACAGCGCAAUUUCGUAAAAUUAUCCACAAAUUCCAUAUAGAGAGACUGAGAGGAAUAAACCUUGCGAGAGGCGGCGGAGGAGCCGGUCAUGGCGUCGCAAGAUCACCUGAUACCUGGCUCGGAUAGACAGUAAAAGGCCGACUAUUGACGACGAGGAGGAUGAUUCUACGGAGGAGCACACAAGGAAUAUGGCCCUGCCGCUGCUAAUUAUAAUAAUAAUAAUACGUCCUGUCCCCAUUCUUUCUUUUUUGCUUUUAUUUCACCCCGUCUAAUUUCUUCUCCAAAUAAUACUCCUCUACUAAUUUCUUCCCCAAAUAAUAUUUUAUUAUUGUCUUCGUAUUGAUUUUUCUACAACUGUCCUGGUACGGUAUUUAAGGAUUUUAUUCUACAACUGUGCUAGUGGGAUAUUUUAUAACAAUUCUUAUUACUGCUAUAAGUUAUACUAGUAACUAGUAGUACUAAUUUUCUUGGUAAAUAUUGACCUCCUCUCCUGCUGCGGUUGAUAUAAUAAAUUCUAGUACUAAAUUAAUGUCGUCAACGGGAGCGUUUGAGGUGAACGAGAUUUUAUCACCCCAUUGAGAUCGCAUCACCAUCUUGAUGCUUGUUAUGAUUUACCAGAUGGUAGUAAUACUAGUAAUUAAAGAACAAGAAUUGGUCCAAAAUGGGCCCGGUUUGAUGAUGAUCGAAGUGGGAUGUCCCUACCCGAAAAAAAAUAUAGUACCCCCCCUUGAGAAAGUGGGAUGUUGCCAAUAGUUCCCAAAAUCAGCAAAAUUCAUUUUCUGUCUUGAAAAAUAUAUUACGUGUAAACCACCCAGUCUAAAACUAAAAAAGAA
rnacentral:lncRNA from 1 species